UAGCUAGUUGGUGAGGUAACGGCUUACCAAGGCGACGAUCUGUAGCGGGUCUGAGAGGAUGAUCCGCCACACUGGAACUGAGACACGGUCCAGACUCCUACGGGAGGCAGCAGUGGGGAAUUUUGGACAAUGGGGGCAACCCUGAUCCAGCCAUGCCGCGUGAGUGAAGAAGGCCUUCGGGUUGUAAAGCUCUUUCGGCCGGGAAGAAAUCGCAUGGGCCAAUACCCUGUGUGGAUGACGGUACCGGAAUAAGAAGCACCGGCUAACUACGUGCCAGCAGCCGCGGUAAUACGUAGGGUGCGAGCGUUAAUCGGAAUUACUGGGCGUAAAGCGUGCGCAGGCGGUUUUGUAAGACAGGCGUGAAAUCCCCGGGCUCAACCUGGGAACUGCGUUUGUGACUGCAAGGCUAGAGUACGGCAGAGGGGGGUGGAAUUCCACGUGUAGCAGUAAAAUGCGUAGAGAUGUGGAGGAACACCAAUGGCGAAGGCAGCCCCCUGGGUCGAUACUGACGCUCAUGCACGAAAGCGUGGGUAGCAAACAGGAUUAGAUACCCUGGUAGUCCACGCCCUAAACUAUGUCAACUAGGUGUUGGGUGGGUAAAACCAUUUAGUACCGUAGCUAACGCGUGAAGUUGACCGCCUGGGGAGUACGGCCGCAAGGUUAAAGCUCAAAGGAAUUGACGGGGACCCGCACAAGCGGUGGAUGAUGUGGAUUAAUUCGAUGCAACGCGAAAAACCUUACCUACCCUUGACAUGCCAGGAACUUGCCAGAGAUGGCUUGGUGCCCGAAAGGGAGCCUGGACACAGGUGCUGCAUGGCUGUCGUCAGCUCGUGUCGUGAGAUGUUGGGUUAAGUCCCGCAACGAGCGCAACCCUUGUCGUUAAUUGCCAUCAUUUAGUUGGGCACUUUAGCGAGACUGCCGGUGACAAACCGGAGGAAGGUGGGGAUGACGUCAAGUCCUCGUGGCCCUUAUGGGUAGGGCUUCACACGUCAUACAAUGGUCGGUACAGAGGGUCGCCAAGCCGCGAGGUGGAGCCAAUCCCAGAAAGCCGAUCGUAGUCCGGAUUGCAGGCUGCAACUCGCCUGCAUGAAGUCGGAAUCGCUAGUAAUCGUGGAUCAGCAUGUCACGGUGAAUACGUUCCCGGGUCUUGUACACACCGCCCGUCACACCAUGGGAGCGGGUUCCGCCAGAAGUAGGUAGCCUAACCGCAAGGAGGGCGCUUACCACGGCGGGGUUCGUGACUGGGGUGAAGUCGUAACAAGGUAGCCGUAGGGGAACCUGCGGCUG
rnacentral:rRNA from 1 species